UGCAAGUCGAGCGGUAAGGCCCUUCGGGGUACACGAGCGGCGAACGGGUGAGUAACACGUGGGUGACCUGCCCUCAGCUCUGGGAUAAGCCUGGGAAACUGGGUCUAAUACCGGAUAUGACCUUCCAUCGCAUGGUGGGGGGUGGAAAGUUUUUCGGCUGGGGAUGGGCCCGCGGCCUAUCAGCUUGUUGGUGGGGUGAUGGCCUACCAAGGCGACGACGGGUAGCCGGCCUGAGAGGGCGACCGGCCACACUGGGACUGAGACACGGCCCAGACUCCUACGGGAGGCAGCAGUGGGGAAUAUUGCGCAAUGGGCGAAAGCCUGACGCAGCGACGCCGCGUGGGGGAUGACGGCCUUCGGGUUGUAAACCUCUUUCGACCGGGACGAAGCGAGAGUGACGGUACCGGUAGAAGAAGCACCGGCCAACUACGUGCCAGCAGCCGCGGUAAUACGUAGGGUGCGAGCGUUGUCCGGAAUUAUUGGGCGUAAAGAGCUCGUAGGCGGUGUGUCGCGUCGGUCGUGAAAACUUGGGGCUUAACUCUGAGCUUGCGGUCGAUACGGGCAUCACUUGAGUUCGGCAGGGGAGACUGGAAUUCCUGGUGUAGCGGUGAAAUGCGCAGAUAUCAGGAGGAACACCGGUGGCGAAGGCGGGUCUCUGGGCCGAUACUGACGCUGAGGAG
rnacentral:rRNA from 1 species